AGAGACCGGAGAGCACAAAACUGCCAUUUUAAGGGUUUCCAUCAGUUGAACAGAGAACCUAAUGACAGACCUGAAAAGAAAUGAGAAAGAGGAACGAGAUAAAGUGAAACCUGACCAUCUCAAAGCUUAUUCUGAACUGAACACUCAAGAAGCAGGGGCCCUGUUGAAACGUGGCGAUGAUAUCAGGGAGACACAAUGGUUAACCAGGCCGUCACGACUGAGGAGCGCCAGACUCACACCUGGAGAACAAGGAGUGAGGAGGUGAUGAGGCAGGCAUAGGACGUGGCCAAGAACAGAAGCGGAAGUUUUAUUAAUAUCUGUUAACUUAUGAGCUUCCCCCUAAAGCAUCCAGAGCUCCAACUUUUUGUAUCAAUUAAUUUCUUCAAAGGCAAUUUUGAAAUAUGAUUCACCUAACAAUCAAAAUGGAUGGGCAUAUGACCUAUAGAAGUCUCUUACUUAAAAUAUUUGAAGAUGAAAUUCAAGAAAGCACUGAUGGAGGGAGUGGAUCAGAGAAGAAAAUAAAAAUGAUGAGAGACUUGGAGCAAAGAAG